GCCCAAAGUCACCCAGUUUGCAGCGGCCCCGAGGCCCCAGGAAGAUGUUGGCAGGCUUGAUGUCAAGGUGGACCAGGCCUUGGCCAUGCAGGUACAGGAUGCCACCCUCCUCCCAAGCUCGCUCCAGUCGCACACAGCGUGGGUGCUUCCCCACCUUCUCAUGGCCGCUGACCUCAGCCAGCUUUCGGGCCCGAUCCUUGGGUCCCCGGAAUGGCGACAUAGAGCGCUUUAUUGCAUAGAGCCGGCCAUCUUCCUUGGAGCGCACCUGGAAGGAAGAUAAUGCCUGCAGGUGGGGUGGGAGGUGGCCCAACCAUUUAGCAGCACAAUCCAGCAGGUUAUAUUAAGAUUUCAUGUGCGGAAGGUGCAGUAUGGCAUUUACCUUAGAAAGACCCCUGAACAUACAAUAGCAAGACCAGAUGCUGGUUCCCUGGAGGCCCAACAAGGAAGAGACAGGGCAGACAUCUAAGUACUAACACAGAGGGUCUCUAAGACUAUUGUGUGAGGUGAAAAAAGCUGGCUACAGAACAAUACAGGCAGUGUGAUUCACUGUGUAGAAUAUUAAUGGUUUAUCUCUGGUCAAUUUUAGAGGUGUAGAGAAAGUUCUGGAAGGAAGGAUGCCCAUCUGAGAAGCUUAGUGGUUUCCUCUAGGAAGAAUUAAUCUAGGGUGGGGGAGCUGGUUUAUAAGGGGGAUAAACAGUAAUGGGAAAAAAUACAAUAAAAAAAAAGAAGUAA